rnacentral:lncRNA from 1 species
UAAAGUGCAUAAUUGACAUUAAAUAUAUAAGGUAUAAAUGCAAAUGAAAUAAAAGAUAUAAGUGUAAAUAAUUUAUUGAAGAUGGAAACAAAAUGACAUAGCUUGAUUUUGAGACUAAAAGAUAAAAAAUGUGAAAGAUAGAGGACUGAUGUAGCAAUUAAUUUGCUUUUAAUUUUUAAAAUUUCGGAUUAAAUUGAAUGUUUG